AGAGUUUGAUUCUGGCUCAGAGCGAACGCUGGCGGCAGGCUUAACACAUGCAAGUCGAACGGGCACCUUCGGGUGUCAGUGGCAGACGGGUGAGUAACACGUGGGAACGUACCCUUCGGUUCGGAAUAACUCAGGGAAACUUGAGCUAAUACCGGAUACGCCCCUUUGGGGAAAGGUUUACUGCCGAAGGAUCGGCCCGCGUCUGAUUAGCUUGUUGGUGGGGUAACGGCCUACCAAGGCGACGAUCAGUAGCUGGUCUGAGAGGAUGAUCAGCCACACUGGGACUGAGACACGGCCCAGACUCCUACGGGAGGCAGCAGUGGGGAAUAUUGGACAAUGGGCGCAAGCCUGAUCCAGCCAUGCCGCGUGAGUGAUGAAGGCCUUAGGGUUGUAAAGCUCUUUUGUCCGGGACGAUAAUGACGGUACCGGAAGAAUAAGCCCCGGCUAACUUCGUGCCAGCAGCCGCGGUAAU
rnacentral:rRNA from 1 species